rnacentral:rRNA from 1 species
CUACGGGUGGCUGCAGGAAGGAAUAUUGGGCAAUGGGCGAAAGCCUGACCCAGCGACACCGCGUGGAGGACUGAAGGCCUUCGGGUUGUAAACUCCUUACACGUAUUAAGAAGGGUAUCCGCACUAAUAAUGCGGAUGUUUGGACAAAAGUACGAGAUGAAGUCAUGGCUAACUCUGUGCCAGCAGCCGCGGUAAUACAGAGAUGGAAACCGUUGUUCGGAAUCACUGGGCUUAAAGAGCACGUAGGCGGGGAAAUAAGUUGAUUGUGAAAUCCCAUGGCUCACCUAUGGAAUUGCAGUCAAAACUGUUUCUCUUGAGUGCGGAAGGGGAGAGUGGAACUCCUGGUGGAGCGGUGAAAUGCGUUGAUAUCAGGAGGAACGCCGGUGGCGAAAGCGACUCUCUGGUCCGUGUCUGACGCUGAGGUGCGAAAGCCAGGGGAGCAAACGGGAUUAGAUACCCCGGUAGUC